CCGAGUUGAAAAACUCCCAAACCAUCGCGAACGUUACCCCUAUCGUUGCCUCGGCGGGCGCCCUCCCGGCUCUCGGGCGGGGGGCGGCACCGCCGGCGGCACCCCAAAACUCUGUUUCUUACCACCGGACCUCUCUGAGUGAUACUGUAACAAAUCAGUCA
rnacentral:misc_RNA from 1 species